UAUGUUCAUGAUCCAAUGUUAACUCUUCCAACAAUCUUUGAAGUAGAUUUAAUUCCCAUUUUGCAGAUGAAGAGUCUGAGACUUAGCAUCUAUCAAAGAACAAAAGCCACACAGUAAGCUGGGAUUCAAAUCCAGAACUUUCUGAUGCAAGAUCCCACAGACCUAAUGACAUUGCUGUUGCCGUCUGCCUGACUGUCCGGCCCUUUCAGAAGAAGCAUGCUAAUCAUUGGGUGGAGAUUCUGGCUGGAUCUGAAAGGUGUCACAAGGAGGUGCUCUACUGUGACUGGUCAAUGCUGGGUAUGAUCCCACCCUUCUGGCUGGAGUGGCAAGAUCCUUUUUCAUCAAGAUCACUGAAGGAGGAACAGUGGGGCAGGACACCACAGGAAGGUGAGAUGAAGACACAGACACUCACAAAAGGAAAAUCAUGUGAAGACACGAGAGAAGACAGCUAUUGAUGAGCCAAGCAGAGAGGAUCUCCGAAGAAAUCAAUCCUGCUGACACCCUGAUCUUGGAUUUCUAGGCUCCUGGAUUGUGAGAAAAUAAAUUUCUGUUUCUUAAGCCCGAAGUCAGUGGUACUUUGUCAUAGCAGCAUGAAAUGAUGGUUUGGCUCUAUGUUCCCAGCCAAGUCUCAUCUCAAAUUGUAAUCCCCUCAUGUCAAGGGAAGGACCUGGCAGGAGGUCAUUGGACCAUGGGGGUGGUUCUCCCAUGCAAACUCAUGAUAGUGAGGGGGUUCUCAUGAGAUCUUGAUGGCUUAAAAGUGACAGUUUCCCCUGUGCUUUCUGUCUCCUUCCACUAUGUAAGACGUGCCUUGCUUCCUCUUGGCCUUCUGCCAUGAUUGUCAGUUUCCUGAGGCCUCUCUAGCC
rnacentral:lncRNA from 1 species